UCAGGACUAACCCCCUUUUAAA
rnacentral:tRNA from 1 species